GUGAAAAUACCUGUUGGUAGUGGACUGAGCAUUUCGCAGAUUGCUCCUCCAUCGUGCGCGAAGACACGCGUUUGAUUGUUAUAUUGCAUGUAUCGCUACUUAAUACUUUUUUUUCCGGCGUGUCACCUGACUCAAUUGACGGUGGUUAUUGUUAUAAUCAAACUUUCCUUUGACGGAAGAUCCGUGAAGUUGUGAGUGAAUUAUUGAUUUUACGUUCGUUGUUCGUUGUUACUACUCGCUGAAGGUGAAAGGUGGAUUCCCCGAAACUCGUUUGCGAGGGAGCACCACAGUUCUGUUUUUUCGUGUGAGAAGGAAACACCGAGAAGAGUGUCAACUCUGCUCAUCGCAGGAGGCCGCCGAAGUGGUUUAUCAAUAAAUUUAAUGAGCCAAAAUCGAAACGAAGCAAGCGAAAAACGAAUAAGAAACGAGUGCAUUAAUUCAGUGAUGGGAAACAAAGAAGAACUCCAUAGUGCAUAAAUUAUCAAUAAACGCCAAACGAAUGCUAAUCUGGUGAUUAUCCUCAAAUUCCUCCAAAUUGUCCCUAGUUACCGAACGACAAAAACAAGCCCAAAGUUGUCAUUUUAGUGUUUGUGCAUCGAAAAGUGGAAUGAUUUUAUUGACCUCAAAAGAAGUGUAAACCGUUUUGGUCAAUGGUGAAUCAGUUUGGUCGGUGAAAGAGAAGAAUUUUUAUUACACUGAACCGACCACCGUUAGCCGAGUUAACCGUGGAGAGAAACAGAUGCUGUAGGGUCUCCUCAAAAAAAAAAAAAACGACGAACAGUCGAACAAACAGUAGGUGGAAGCUUUCUCUGAGCAGCGCCAAUGCAAAGCAACGGGAACUAACGCAGCAGAUCAUAACCCCAACCACCGCAGCUGACCGUCAACCACCUCGUGGACAAUGACCAUUCCGGUUGUUUUCAAUGCUCCACAUAGGCAAUUGAGUGGCUGCAGGUAUAAUUUCAAUUAAAUCUCAACCGAUACUUCACCAGCACUAGCGAUUCCAGCAGCUCAAGGUCAAGUUAAACGAACGAGUGAAACCCACCAAUUGAAAUUCUCCGGCUCUGACCACGGUGUGGUGUUCGCAAGUGUUGUGAGAUCAGAUGAUUAAGCACAAAGAAA